rnacentral:rRNA from 1 species
GAGUUAUGAUCCUGGCUCAGAAGGAACGCUAGCUAUAUGCUUAACACAUGCAAGUCGACGUUGUUUUCAGGGAGCUGGGCAGAAAGAAAAAGGCUCCUAGCUAAAGGUAGCUGUCUCGCCCCAGGAGGUGAGCAACAGUUGAGAACAAGUGGCGAACGGGUGCGUAACGCUGGGAAAUCUGCCGAAACAUUCGGGCCAAAUCCGAAGAAAGCUAAAAAAGCCGCUGUUUGAUGACGCCUGGCGUAGUAUAGGUAGUUGGUCAGGUAAGCUGACCAAAGCCAAUGAGCUUAGCUGGUCUUUUUCGGGAUGAUCAGCCCACUGCGGACUGAGACACGGCCGACUCCCACGGGGGCAGCAGUGGGGAAUCUUGGGAACAUGGCGAAAGCCCGAUCCGCCAAAUAUCGCGUGGAGUUGAAGAAGGGCACAUGCCGCUUGUAAAGCUCUUUCGUUGAUGCGCGAUCAUGACAGGACUGCGAGAGUAAGCCCGGCUAACUCGCUUGCCGCAGCCGCGAGUAAGACGGGGGGGGCAAGUGUUCUUCGGAAAUGACUGGGCGUAAAGGGCACGUAGUGCGGUGAAUCGGUUGAAAUUGAAAGUCCCAAAACUGGGGAAUGCUAUCGAAACAAUUCACUUGGGUGAGACAGAGGGAGAGUGAAUUUCGGUGUGUAGGGUGAAAUCCGGAGAAUCUACGAAGGAACGCCAAAAGCGAGGCAGCUACUCUGGGUUCCCUACCGACGCUGGGGGUUGCGAAAGCAUGGGGAGCGAACAGGAUAGAUACCCUGGUAAGUCCAUGCGUAAACGAUUGAGUGUUCGCCCUUGCGUCUACACGGAUCGGAUCAGGGCCCAGCUAACGCGUUGAAACACUCCGCCUGGGAGUACGUCGCAAGACCGAAACUCAAAGGAAUUGAACGGGGGCCUUGCACAAGCGGUGGAGCAUGUGGUUUAAUUCGAUACUACGCCGCAAAACCUUACCAGCCCUUGACAUAUGAACAACAAAAACCUGUUCCUUAACGGAUGGUACUGACUUUUCAUACAGGUGCUGCCAUGGCUGUCGUUCAGCUCGUGUUCGUGAGAUGUUUUGGUCAAGUCCUAUAACGAGCGAAACCCUACGUUUUGUUGCUGAACAUGCGCUUAGAGAAGUCUUGCAACCGAAGUGAGCCAAGCGAGCCCGAGCUGGACGUGCCAGCGCUACUAGAUUGAGUGCGCAGCACGUAGCUUGUGCCUGUCAGGUUAGAAGGGCAGCCGGCCGCCUUCUAAGUACUUUCUAGUUAGCGUUUCGUUUUCAAUAAGGGACGUUAGCUUUACUAAUAAAAUAGAAAGGGCUUUUCUCGCUUGUUUAGUAAAGUCACGUUUUUGGCCUUAUCUUGCGGGUGACGAGGACGUCGAGUGGCGCGGGGGGGCGGUGGUGUGG